rnacentral:rRNA from 1 species
AUACGGAGGGUGCAAGCGUUAUCUGGAAUCAUUGGGUUUAAAGGGUCCGUAGGCGGACUAUUAAGUCAGAGGUGAAAUCCCACAGCUCAACUGUGGAACUGCCUUUGAUACUGGUAGUCUUGAGUUAUAUGGAAGUAGAUAGAAUGUGUAGUGUAGCGGUGAAAUGCAUAGAUAUUACACAGAAUACCGAUUGCGAAGGCAGUCUACUACGUAUAUACUGACGCUAAGGGACGAAAGCGUGGGGAGCGAACAGGAUUAGAAACCCCAGUAGUCC